rnacentral:tRNA from 1 species
ACGGUUCUAAUGUAAUGGCAGCAUGAUAGUCUCCAAAACUGUCAGUCUUCGUUCGAGUCGAAGGAGCCGUG